CCCUUUCCCCUUUCCCUUUCCCUUUCCCCUUUCCCCAGAAAAUUAAGAAAUCACUUUCCCCCGAUCUGGAGUGUUCUUGGCGAGACGAAGAUUCUGUAAUUCUGCAUAAACAACAAAGCAACGAAGCAACGAAGCAUUCCAGGAUUGCACUCUUGUCAAGGUAUCAGACACCAAUUACCAGCCACCUUGGCUAAGGAUGAUGGAUCAGAUUGUCAAAACCAAGAGAUUAACCAAUUAUCCAAGGCAUAAACCUUGCCCUUGAGCUACUUGAAUUUUUUAGUAUCAUCAAUGACACUAUCUAUGAAAAACUAAU